rnacentral:rRNA from 1 species
UACGUAGGGUGCGAGCGUUAAUCGGAAUUACUGGGCGUAAAGCGUGCGCAGGCGGUUUGUUAAGUCUGAUGUGAAAGCCCCGGGCUCAACCUGGGAACUGCAUUGGAAACUGUCAAGCUCGAGUAUGGCAGAGGGGGGUGGAAUUCCGCGUGUAGCAGUGAAAUGCGUAGAGAUGCGGAGGAACACCGAUGGCGAAGGCAGCCCCCUGGGCCAAUACUGACGCUCAGGCACGAAAGCGUGGGGAGCAAACAGG